UAUGGCUCCAUUCUUGUAAAAUUUUGUCUAAAACCCUUUUCGUUUUUUUUAAAAAUUUUCGCAACUUUUUGUUGAGCUUUUUGUCGUAAUUUUUAGAGUUAAUCAUUCGUCUCAAUGAGAGAAAAAAAAAAAUAUAGACCGAUGUUGAAUAAGUUCAUAAGACGAAUUUUUAGACAAAAAAUACAGCUAUUUAUUACUUUUUCUUCUUUAGUGAACUUUUUUUUUUGCAUUAAUUUGGUCAUAAUUUUUCUAUGUUUAGACUCCUCUUGUUGAGAUUGAUAACUAAUUCAAAAAAUAAGAUCAAAUCUAAUAAAAAUUCAGAGAAGACGAACAAAACGCACAAAAGGACAAAAAAGUUUUGGAAAAUAGGGCCUUAGUAUUUGUUUCCAAAAACCUUGUUAAAGAAAGAGAAACUUCAACAAAUAUGUAUGGACACAUGGUAAUUUAUCUCUUGAAACUAGUAUCCGUUUUGAAUUAUGUGUUGAAAAUGCAAAGCCGGCUCUGACUUUUGGGGGCUUAAAGCGAAAAUUAAAAAUAGGAUCUCAUUUGUUGGACUAUAAUAAGGGAUAAAGAAGUAGGAGGGCCCUUACAAUUCAGAUUUUUUUGAGGUCUAAAGCGACCGCAAUACUUGUUUUACCUUAGGACCAGCUCUGUGAAAAUGAUAAGUCUGGGUCUAUCAAAAAUAUGAGUUGACCAGAUAAGUCUGGGAGUGAGCAUGGAAUAAUUUUUAGUAUCGGCUUUUUUUUUUAAUCGGUGAAAUUCAGUAUUGUUCAGAUAAUUUUGUUGAUAUCUUAGAAGAGGAGAUGAAUUCCUAACUUCCUCUCUCUCAAAACUUCGCUUGCAUCCCGAUGUCGUUGGGUCAAAGGCCUCUAGCGAGCAUGGCAUAAGUUGGAGAUUAGCGGGCUAGACGUUCAAUUUGCUUGAGAGGAGGUGGCCUAAGAAUAAGAUCCCGUAUCUAUAUA